ensembl:lncRNA
UUAUAUGUGUACAGGCAUCGGAAUAUUCCAGUUUACGUGGUUGUUAUAAGUAUGCCUGAGCUGCCAUUUCUAAAUACCUAGCCUACAGCUAAGUAUCUAAAUAUGAGCAUAUAUCCAUGAGCAUGAGCAUAGAUUCCAGGGAUGGGAAUCGGAAUUAUGGAAUCGGAAUAGUGUCUUAAUGUGAAUCGGGUAAUCGGAUUGCGGGUGUUUAUAUGUCUCAGUACUAAUCAAAUUCCGAUUAAUAUCAGAAUAUUGAUGUGCAUGUAAACGUAACCAGUGAUAAUUUCGAGUUUCGAAUCUAAGUACCAUAGAAAUGGUUCUGGACCUCAAUUCCACAUGGACGUUCUCGCUGUGGUUGCUGGGACUACGGUUGCUGCGAUGUCCUUGGGACUGCAAUUACCACAUGCAGUUUUACACUCAGGUCUCCUUUAGUGAACAGUGGACUAGUUCAACAAACAGACUUCAUAUAAAACCAUAAUGACCUUUCUUUUACUCUCACACUAUCCGUCGUUACCCAGAUGAGGACGGGUUUCCUUCUGAGUCUGGUUCCUCUCAAGGUUUCUUCCUCGUAUCAUCUCAGGGAGUUUUUCCUCACCACCACCGUCUCGCUCAACAGGGAUAAAUCCACACACUUAAAAUCUCUAUCCUGUGUUUAUAUGUUUCCGUAAAGCCGCUUUGAGACAAUAUCCAUUGUAAAAAGUGCCAUACAAAUAAAAUAAAACUGAAAAAUUUUAAAUAUCUGUGUGCAAACAAACAUCUCAAUCAACUCGAUCUGGCUAAAGUUCUUCAUUUUGUUAAGAGAUAUACAAAUAUCAGGCCCAGAUAUACCAUAGCAAGUGUUUAAAGCUGUUACCAUAGACAUGAAUUUGACUUUAUGCCUUCUCAUGGCACAGUAUCAGUUUUAAACUCCUUAUUGAAGAUUUUGCAGUGAGUAUUAUAUUUACACCAAAAGACCGAGACAUCUUUCUGUUCAAGAAAGAAAAUUGGCACGAGCGAACAAACAACCGCAGACUAGCCUAUUUUCUGGCAUCUAAGAGAUGUUUUCCUGCAUUUCCUUGUUGUUUUUGUUUGUUUGUUUUUUUAGUGUACUAGCUGCUUAGUGUUUUUUUUUUUGGGGGGGGGGGGUGCAAAAAAGAAAUAUAUCUUGGAGGGGGAAAAAAGAGGAUUUAUGGCACACUUAACAGUAGGAUUACAUGAGCAGGUUUAAUAUACAUAGCUGUUUAUCUACAAUGAAAUAUUUUAGCGAGUACAAAAUACUUGCUUGAAGUAAUUAGGUUUAGGAAAUGGCACAAAGCGAGAUAUUGUUUGAAAAUUGAAACAGCGCUAAGGAAAGAAAAGCUCUCGUCUCUGAAAGCUAAAUCGCCUCCUGUCUCUGCUCAAAAAUGGCACAUAGCUUUGUUUCAGGUACUGAAAAAAAAAAAAAAUCAUUGCUUCCCCUGAGCCCAUCUUUCAACAAAGCAACACUGAAUUUAAUGAAUGAGGUGUGGUGCCAAAGUGUGUGCCGAGGCCCUGCGCAACUCCACAUCAGAAGGACAGACUCCACAGAAAAAACACAGAGUGCAGCUCGAUGAAAGCCCACACUCCACUAACACACCCUGCGAGAGGAUGUCAUCACUAAUAGAGACUCAGCUAAAUGCAUUUCCAAAAUACUGUGCUGCUCUCCUUCCUGCUAUAGUGGAAAAUAAGGUUAGCAGCUGAAAACAACAGCAACAACAACACCUCUGCUAACGGAACAUUUGGAACGUUAUUUCUAAUAUAUUUCCUCGUAAACAUAGCCAAACGGAGUUACUGUUACCACCCUGAAGUUUAUUUCCUAUAAUAGCACAGUAUUGUAUUCCUAUUAUACCAAAGAUGACAUUUUUUAUCCUUUUAUAACUACAUUUAAAGAUGUGGAACAAGUUAGUACCUGUUGUCAUUUACGUCAUCCCCUCAACGCAGCUUGUUACAUUAGCAAGAAACCGUAAAGCGUAAACUCGUCCAAUCAUGAAGACUUUCCCAAAUCAGUGUUACAGAACUGACUGGAGGCUCCUUCCAUAAUUGUUAAACAAACAUCGCCUCACAGAUAAACUUCAUAUCAACGAUGAUGUGUUUCAAUUCAUUAACUAACAGCAUGUUACUGCGAAUGAGCUAUUACUAUAGAAAUUAGUUUAAGGUCCUAGGUUCUAUGUGGCAUUUGCUAAUAAUCUGCAUAAUGGACUUGAUCAUUUCAUGUCACUGAGUGUUUUUUUUUUUUUUGUGACAUCACAGACCAAGCCUCUGAUUUAAAUGGAAAAAUCUAGAAGAUUUGAGCUAUUGUAGAAAAGCAAAUUCCUGAUGAGUUACCCAUACAGUAUGUACGAAUACGUAUAGCGUUCUCUACAAUAAAUAUAAACUAGUCUUUCGAAGAACCAAUGCCACAUGGAAAACAUCUUGCCACAUGUUUGAACAAUUCAGAAGUGAUGCUUUUACAUCCCAACGGCGCAUGGUUAAUAUUCUGGGCUCGGCUAAGCCGUGUUAUCUGGGUCAUAAAAGCCAUCCAGCACCCUGCUGCCACUAAAGCUGAUUUAUACCGGCUCCUGCCCCUGAUAUGCAUAUCGUUAAGCAUCAUAAUUAUUCCCCUUGACGAGUCGACGUAUCCGGUCGCCUCUGGGUCAUGUGACUUCAUUUAUGAGAAUGUGGUCAAUCACGCCGGUUUGGGAGUGAGCUCACUGGAGACGUUACAAAGCUCAUAAAGCACAGUGGCUGAUAAAAUAUACUUAAAUGAAGCCGACCACAUUCAUGGCCGGCUUCAAUUCAGUUCCACAGAGAACCUUCAUGAAUUUUCUCAGAAGACAAAACAAAUAUCCUGUUAAUAUAUAGAAUAACAAUAAUAGUACAAUAUAGUAGAAUUAUAGUAUAGUGUAAUAUACCAGAACUAAAGUACACCAGACUAAAGACAUAAUAUAUUACAAUGUAUUAGAUUUAUAAUGUAUCAUUGUCAAACCAUUAUAUAGUACAACGUAGCAGAACUAUAGUGUUCCAUAGUAAAGCAAUAGUAUAGUACAGCAUAGUAGAACCAAACUGGAUCAUAGCAGAAUUGUGUACUAUAGUAAAACCAUGAUGUAGGUGCACCCAGGUGCCGGUUCAGUCUCUUGUCAUUUCGAGACUGGACUACUGCAUCUCAGUCCUGGCAGGUCUGCCUCCGCUUGAAAUGGGGAAAAGUUCGCAGAAAUAACAACAAACAAAACAAAAAAAAAACAAAAUACAAAACACUACAUUGUACUAUAAUUAUGGAUCGAUAAUGUACCGUAGUAAAACUUGCAUUGUGCAAUAUAGUAGCAUUUUAAUGUACCAUAGUAAAACCAUAGUAUAGUACAAUAGAGUACCAAAAAUACCCACAUAGCAUACUAUAGUAUAGCCAUAGUAUGUCAGGAUUAAUGUAUGUAUGUAGGUAAACAUUAGACUACCAUAAAGGUAUAGUAUACCCUGGUAAAUCAUACUGUACUAUAGCAAAAACAUAGUAUUCUUUAGUAAACAAUAGGGAAUAGCUCUACUCUGGGUUCCCAGAGGAACAAUUAGAACCUUUUUAACCAAGUGUAUAGUUUAUCCAUACACACUUUUACUGCCUUUUUCCCAGCAGAAGAAUGUUUCCAACACCUCUGUUAGAAAAAAAAAGUACUUGUGAUGUCUUUCUCCGUCUGUCAGGAGAGCUGGGAGUGAGGCAGCCUGGUGUAGAGAUAAAGGGAAAUAGUGGUGUUUGCAGAGUAACACAGUGGCAGGGAGAUGCAGUAGAUUAGGUCGAGGCCUUCACCUUCUAUUCCCGUAAAUAUAUCAGCACAGAGAGUUGUCAAAGCCAGCAAAGCUACCGCUCCAUCUCGCCUCAGAGAAAAGUACAUCUCAUAGCUAGCUCUACAGUAGCAAGCCUAUCUCCAGCUCAAGUUCCCAAUUUCUCUGCCUUUUUGCUCUCCGUUCAUAUAGCGCUCCCUCUUUCUUUUACAGUUCCUAACCUUCUCUCUCUCUCUCUCUUAACUUUACCCAAUCCUUCAUUCUGUUUCUCAGUUUUUCAUAAAUCUGAUCUCGCGAGGUGUUCCCUGAAAUCAAAUACCUCACCCAUAAGGGUAACAGUCCGGAAAAUUGCAUACACCAAGGGCCGGAAAAAGAGCAUGAAGUGUGUCAGGCAUUUUGACAAAACAUAUACUACUAUAUACUCCAGCCUUAAUGUAACGCCAUGGUGUUGUUUUUUUUUUUUUUUUUUAAACUUCCUCGUUUCUGUGAUCAGAGAAGAAGAAACUCUUUGUUUCCAGUCUCAUACCCUCGUCAUACCCUUCACGUGUCCGCUAUGACAGACGGCUCAUAAAACCUUUUCGAUGUGUUGUAAAAAUGGAAAUGACUCUUUCUGGAUGGAACGGGGAAAAUAGGUGAACGUGAGACUUGUUCCAAUUUAUUAUUUUUUUUCUGGGUGGCAAUAUACACGCGAUGCAGUUCCAGUUCCUCUUAGUCUUCCUUUCUUUCUGUUCAUUUCUCUCUCUCUUUCUCUCUCUCUCUCUCUCAUUUUCAUUACUUUACUGUUUAUUCUGUCUUCCCAAUUUCCCUUUUUUUAAUUUUUUUUUUUUAUUUAAAAAAUGGACUUUUCUUAUCUCUUUAAUUAAUCUGAAUUCCUGAACAACUUCCUGACCAAAGGCAAUUUAAAUUGAACGCACUCAUUUUCACAAAGGAAUGAGGUGUGCCUUCCUUUCCUCCAAACACACGCAAAUAUGGUAAAGUAUUAAUUUACCAAAUAAUCUCUUGAGAAAUAUGUAUGGAUUCAAACAAGGGUGGUGUUGUUGGAUUUCAUUCAAUAUCAUAUAAAUAUAAGAAAGUGCACAGAUCUCUAACCCAUAUCUCUAACCCUAACCACAACCUUUGUAACCUUUCAUAUGAUUUAAGUUGUGUGAAUUGUUACAAGUGAAAAAAAAAACAAAAAAACAAUCCAUUUGUAUUUAAAAUGAUAUCACUAAAUGCUACGUGUGAAUAAAUAUGCAUAAACAUUUGUGAAUCCCUUACUGGAAAAUAUUGCCAAUGCAACUAUAAAGCGAUAAGGUUCAAUGUGUCGCUUUUUAGAUUAGAGAUAAUUGGCAAGCUGUUAUUUCCGUUGUUUUAUCUCUGACCCGCGUGUGGGGUUUGAGCUGAAAUUUGAUCUGCGGUUGGAUAAGGGCGCUGUGAUCUCCCUCACAGGAUCUGAUGCAUAAUGGACUUUUUUUUCUGCCUGAAUCUGAAGGUCAGUUGGAUUUUUCUUUUUGUCCCAAUUCAUGCAAGAGUCCAGCAUGGGGAUUUGCACCGAAUUAAACUGCUUGAAAUGGGGCAAAGAAAGAUCGCUGAGAUAAAAAAAAACAAAAACAAAUGAAACAGCUAUGCCUCUGGUAGAGUAACACUGUGAGCUGCAUUUAUCAUUUUCCACUUUUACAACAAGAUGAGCGUGUACACUUGAAUAUGAUUUUACAAACGCAAAACCAUAGAGUACCAUAAAAAAUAUAUCACAAUACCCAUAACACUAUCCACACCCGUCCAUAGCAUAGAGGGUUCCAUGGUAUAGUAUAACCAUGAUGUAUAGUAAAAGUAAAAUGACAGUAUACUACACUCUGAUCAUUCUGUACCAGAGUAACACCGCAGUGUUCCAUUGCACACCAUUGAAGACUAUUAAAAAAUACUAUAGUAUAACUACUGUAUAGUGUUCUGUAGUAAACCACAGAGUUGCAUAGUAUAGUCUAGUAUAAUCAUGGCGUACCAUAGUAAAAUCACAGUAUACUAAAGCACGAUCACAGUGUACCACAGUAAAAGCAUAAUAUUAUGUAGUAAAUCAUAAAAUAUCAUUAAAAAAUAUAUAGUAUACCACAGGAUAAGCAGUGUUCUAUAGUAUAGUACUGUAUAACCGCAGACUUCCAUGGUAUAGUAUAUUAUAACCAUGAUGUACCAUAUUAAAAUCACAGUAUACUACACUAUGAUCAUAUUGUACAAGAGUACUACCAUAGUGUUCCACUGUAAACCAGAGUGGUAUAUUUAAAAAUAGUAUAGUUUAGUAUAACCAUAGAGUCAUGUAGUAUAUGGCAUAGUGUAUUAUAACCAUGAUGUACCAUGGCAAAAUCACUGUGCAUACUACACUAUGAUAAUACUGUACCAGAGCACUACCAUAAUAUUCUGUAGUUAACCACAGAGUUGUAUAGUAUAGUAUAGUAUAGUAUAGUAUAAUCACGUAUAGUAUAGUAUAAUCACGGUGUAAGUAAAACAUAAUAUUCUGUAGUUAACCACAGAGUUGUAUAGUAUAGUAUAGUAUAGUAUAGUAUAUUAUAGUAUAAUCACGGUGUAAGUAAAACAUAAUAUUCUGUAGUUAACCACAGAGUUGUAUUGUAUAGUAUAGUAUAUUAUAGUAUAAUUACGGUGUAAGUAAGACACAAUAUUCUGUAGUUAACCACAGAGUUGUAUAGUAUAGUAUAGUAUAGUAUAGCAUAAUCACGGUGUAAGUAAAACAUAAUAUUCUGUAGUUAACCACAGAGUUGUGUUGUAUAGUAUAGUAUAGUAUAGCUAUUGGUUAACUAUGUGAACAAUAUACGGGUUAAUGAAAUUUGCAAAUCAUUGCAUUCUGUUUCUAUUUACAUUUUACACCAUGUCCCAUUCUUUUGGAAUUGGGGUUGUAUUUAAUUAUGUUAUACUAUGAGGAACAUACUGUGAUUUUUUUUUUGGCACUCUACGCUAUAGGUGUGCAAAAUAAUAUUCAAGUGGCUAUGCUAAAAAAAAUGGUUAUAUAUUGCUGUGCAAGCAUUAGGGGUUUACUUCUGGACGGAGAACCUCACCUGUUACAGAGCUGUCCAAGUUGUCCAUGCUGGAUCCUGGUGUGUUUUCAAUGCACCGGUGCGGCGGUGGUGACAUCUUGUAACCUUCAUCUUCCUCGUCCUCCUCCUCUUCCUCAUCAUCAUCCUCGUCUUCGUCAGCGAGAUCUGUUUCAAUGUCGGACAUGAGGGUGCUGGACAUGUAGCCCACGGGAGGAGCAGGGGCUUGAGGAGGAUACGGGCCUCCCUGCAUGUGCCUGUGGAAAAUUAAACCCAUCAGCAAACACACACACACACACACACACACACACACACACACACACACACACACACACACACACACAUCAAGCCAAGCCCAGACAUUUCCAUAUUUGAGUGGAGGCUCAGACAGGAUGUCAGCCAGAGACAAAAGGUGUCAAGAGACGCAGCGAGAUGAAUGGGGAAACAUGUAGAGGAGGAGGUAUCUGUCACGGCAAAUUUGCGAUUCCUGGAACACUCCACGUCAAGCUUCAGAUGAAUUGGGACAAUUCGACUAAUUCAACGCUGCUACAUUUUGCAUGCUAACACAAUGACCCCACUAAUUGCAGCUGAGGAGGACACAAUACCAAACUUCACAGGCAUGCUAACACCGUGGCUGUCACCUCCUAAACAGCCAGGUCUGCUGACAGGCCCAGUGUGUGCGUGUUAGUGUGUACGUGAGUGUCAAUGUGACCAUCUUUGAUGCGGCUAUGCCUGGAUUUGAAUAUAAUAAUGGGCUCUUCUCUGUUGUCAAAGAUUUACUUGAAGCAACAUAGUCAUUACUCAAGUAACAUGACAUUUCCUUCUUGACAAGUGGAGCCUAUUCCCCGUGAGGAAGUGCAGAAAUGAAUAUGUGCCAGUUUUCAUGACUGAGGGACAGGAUGAAGCAUGUGGCUCAUUUGCUUUGCAUGAAAGCCAUAAAAAAGGAAUAGUUUAUACGCCCGCACUGACAUGCACCAGUGAACGAUUUUAAAUAGGGUUUUAGCAUUAAUUCCAGGCCUUUGAUUUUUUUUCCCUCCAGGUCUAAAGAAAAAGUUUGGAAAAUUAGCCACAGGAUUGUGAUUAAUUGGUUUUGCCAGGAAGUUAAAUGCCGUGGCCAUGUGGCUGAGAGCAGUCUAUAUUUAUAUAUAUCGAAAGAACUUUUUUUGGGGGGUAUAAAUUACAGUCUGGACCUUUGUAUCGAGCUCAUAUUUCAUUUCCAUGCACAAAUAUUGUAUACGGAGGAAUAGAAAAAUGAGAGAAAUUAAAGAUGGAAAGGAAAAAGGAAAGAAACAAAAGAAGCAAAGAAAUAAAGGAGGGAAAUGAAAUGGGGGGGGGAUGAAAGAUGAAAAAAGAAGGAGAAACAGAAGAAGUAAGUGAAGGAAAGAAAAGAAAGAAGGAAAUAAGUAGACAAACAGUAGAAACAAAGGAAGGAAAGAAACGGAAGAAGAAAAAAGUAGGAAAGAAUUGAAAAAAGAAUGAAAUGACAAAAUAAAGGAAUUAAAUGAAAAAGCGAAGAGCGAUGGAAAGAAACAACUAAAGAAGGAUAAAAUCAAAACUUACAGAUAGAAAAAAAUGGGAAAAAUAAAUAAAUGUAGGACAGAAAGAAAAAUAAAAACAAAAGAACGAAAGAAAUGGAAGAAGGAAAAAGUAGGAAAGAAAUUUUUACAAAAAGAAUGAAAGAACAAAAUAAAGGAAAUAAAUGAAAAAAAGAAAGAAUGACGGAAAGAAAAAAAAGUAAAGGAUGGCAAAAACAAAAACACAAGAAAAAAAGGAGGAAAGAAAUGAAAAAAUUGCAGAAUCAAAACAGGAAAGAAAAA